CGGAGGAAGGUGGGGAUGACGUCAAGUCCUCAUGGCCCUUAUGAGCAGGGCUUCACACGUCAUACAAUGGUCGGUACAGAGGGUUGCCAAGCCGCGAGGUGGAGCUAAUCUCAGAAAACCGAUCGUAGUCCGGAUCGCACUCUGCAACUCGAGUGCGUGAAGUCGGAAUCGCUAGUAAUCGCAGAUCAGCAUGCUGCGGUGAAUACGUUCCCGGGUCUUGUACACACCGCCCGUCACACCAUGGGAGUGAGUUUCACCAGAAGUGGGUAGGCUAACCGUAAGGAGGCCGCUUACCACGGUGGGAUUCAUGACUGGGGUGAAGUCGUAACAAGGUAGCCGUAGGGGAACCUGCGGCUGGAUCACCUCCUUUCUAG
rnacentral:rRNA from 1 species